rnacentral:rRNA from 1 species
GAUGAACGCUGGCGGCGUGCCUAAUACAUGCAAGUCGAGCGAACAGACGAGGAGCUUGCUCCUCUGACGUUAGCGGCGGACGGGUGAGUAACACGUGGAUAACCUAUCUAUAAAACUGGGAUAACUUCGGGAAACCGGAGCUAAUACCGGAUAAUAUCUUGAAACGCAUGGUUCAAUAGUGAAAGACGGUUUUGCUGUCACUUAUAGAUGGAUCCGCGCCGCAUUAGCUAGUUGGUAAGGUAACGGCUUACCAAGGCGACGAUGCGUAGCCGACCUGAGAGGGUGAUCGGCCACACUGGAACUGGGACACGGUCCAGACUCCUACGGGAGGCAGCAGUAGGGAAUCUUCCGCAAUGGGCGAAAGCCUGACGGAGCAACGCCGCGUGAGUGAUGAAGGUCUUCGGAUCGUAAAACUCUGUUAUUAGGGAAGAACAAAUGUGUAAGUAACUAUGCACGUCUUGACGGUACCUAAUCAGAAAGCCACGGCUAACUACGUG